rnacentral:rRNA from 1 species
GAUGAACGCUGGCGGCGUGCCUAAUACAUGCAAGUCGAGCGAACAGAUGAGGAGCUUGCUCCUCUGACGUUAGCGGCGGACGGGUGAGUAACACGUGGAUAACCUACCUAUAAGACUGGGAUAACUUCGGGAAACAGGAGCUAAUACCGGAUAAUAUAUUGAACCGCAUGGUUCAAUAGUGAAAGACGGUUUUGCUGUCACUUAUAGAUGGAUCCGCGCCGCAUUAGCUAGUUGGUAAGGUAACGGCUUACCAAGGCAACGAUGCGUAGCCGACCUGAGAGGGUGAUCGGCCACACUGGAACUGAGACACGGUCCAGACUCCUGCGGGAGGCAGCAGUAGGGAAUCUUCCGCAAUGGGCGAAAGCCUGACGGAGCAACGCCGCGUGAGUGAUGAAGGUCUUCGGAUCGUAAAACUCUGUUAUUAGGGAAGAACAAAUGUGUAAGUAACUAUGCACGUCUUGACGGUACCUAAUCAGAAAGCCACGGCUAACUACGUG